GGGCCCGGCACCGCCCCUCGCGUCACCUCCCGGCACCGCCUGCCUCCCUGUUCCCCAAGUUUGGAAAAUGCCUGUCUCCUACGGCUCGGCUAGUCCUUGUCCAGGACUCACCCGGCUUGUGCUCCACCUGCCUUCUCCGGACCCUCCGGGGCCCCAGGCUCACACCUGGAAAGCAAAGGGUUAAGUUGGAGGAAGGCAACCCCAAGAAGCAGACCCUUCGGGAAAAUGGGGCAGCUCGAAGUUCAAAAUAAUUAUAUUCUAUCUACGGUCUAACCUAAAUCCCUCCAGCUGCAAGGCGCCCCACUCGUACGUCUGAUGUUGGGGGCCUAUGCACAUGGCCUCGUGAGGGUUCCAUUCACCUCUUCUGGGUGGAACCAGUUUGUGACUGGACCUACACCAGAUGCCGGCCUUGCCUCAAGGCUUGGGUUAGUGCGCCCCGGAAAAACCCGAGAUUCCACCGUGGAAAGUGGGAGGAGGAACCAGGGCCAAAGCGGGGCUUGACCAAUGCUCUACCCACCCACUUUUUAGGUGCCCAAAUGAAGCCCUAGAGCCCAAGGCCUAGGGCGGUGCCCUAUUUGCCACAGCCACCCUGUCUUCAGGUUUUUAAGCCGCCUAGGACAGGGUGAGGGGGAAGUUUUAGUUCUCCUUGCGGUAUCAUAAAGAUUUCUUCCAGGUCCCACGGGUGCCACGGGAAACUGGAAACGCAAGGUGCCCAGACACUGGGCCUCGAACUCGUGCCGGGGUCGAAGGGGCAGAGCGUAUAAUUAGGUGCAACCUAAAUGGCUGACCUCUGACACACAUAACGCCGGCUCCCUGGGGCUGAAUCGGGGCUUAGCGCCAACGACACCCACCGGCCAGAACUCUGGGGACCACUGCAGACGCAUCCUCCUACCCAGCGCCCCGCGCGGGCUCGCCGGAGCACUGCAUUCAACGAUGAAAAAUGUCCUCAAAGGGAAACUUUUUACCAAUGUGGAAGAGGGGAAACAAAAAACAGCAGAAGCACUAAAAGGCAUCAAAAUAAAUGAGUUCAAAAAACAUUUUGAUCAGUGGAAAAAACAUCUCAGUAGGUGUAGUGCAUCAAAUGGAGCGUACUCUGAAGGUGAAUGAAGUUUAAACAGACAGGUUGUUGACCUCUCCUGUCUCAGUUUCACGGUCUGUAAGAUGAGGAGGCUAAAACACACCACCUCUCAAAGCAAUUAUAAGGAGUAGAAGAGGAAGAAGUGACAGAAGAGCUUCCAAGUGUCAACUACUGUCCUGGUUUUUAAGAGUGAAAUGUCUGGGAGCUGGCUGUGUGGACUGAGUUUGGGUGAGACCCAAGCCCUCAGACUUAAGAGGCAUGAUGCCCACAAGAACGAAAAUCCACAGGAUUAGUCUUGAACAAGCCGGGAGCCUGCUAAGCCCUGGCAUCUGCUGAACUUCCCAAAUUACACACAUUAAGCUGUUCAGUUCCACAUUUUCAUAGUGUGCUUCCUGCCAAGCUUCCUAGCACAGUCUACACAAUCGGAAAUGAAAUGAGCAGUUAGACCAAUUAUGGAUGUGGCAGGUCAAACAAAUAAGCCCUUAUUUAGGACUUAAACAGACAUAGUCAACAAGGGUCUAAUCCAAAAUUGAGAUUUGGACAAAAAAAGGCUUUAUAAAACAAAAGGGGGGUAGUGGGUAGAGAUAGUUGUAUAAAUUUUUUCUCUGUCUCACUGAAAAUACUAAAAUAACAUUUUAUCCAGCCUUUGCAUGAUGCCACCCUGUCUCCCCUCCCUUGGCCUCUCGAACAUUCUCUAGCUCUGUUACUAAUCUUGUAGGGCCAGCUCAUAGGAAGUGUUAUGCUAGGGUAUGAGAGUAGUCAUCAUUGAAAAAAGCUGGGGAAUUAAUUUGUUCAUCGUUUCAUACCUAGUUAAAUACCCAAGAAUUAAAGCCAUACACAUGAAUAUUUCUGUGUAUGUUCAGGAAGUACAGAGACUGUGUGUUAAAGAAACCCCAAGGGUUUCAGCUAAGUGAGAAAUUCUAGGUAGAGUGAGGUGCUGGAUUCUUUCUUUUUAAAAAAAAUUAUUCCCAAUUUAUUAUUUUAUUUAUUUAUGUAUUUAUUUUUAAUGUUUUAUUGAUUAUGCCAUUACAGUUGUUCUAUUCCCCCUUCAUUCUCCUCCACCCUGCACACCCCCCUCCCACCCACAUUCCCCCCCUUUAGUUCAUGUCCAUGUAUCACAAGUUCUUUAGAUUCUAUAUUUUCCAUAUUAUUCUUGCCCUCCCCUUGUCUAUUUUCUACCUACUGUCUAUGCUAUUUAUUCUCUGUACCUUCUCCCCCUUCUCCUUCUCCCACUCCCCUGUUGCCGACCCUCCAUGUGAUCUCCAUUUCUAUGGUUCUGCUCCUGAUCUAGCUGUCCUCUUAGUUUGCUUUUGUUUUAGGUGUGGUUGUUAAUAACUGUGAGUUUGCUGUCCUUUCAGUGUUUAUAUUUUUAUCCUUUUUUUUCUUAGAUAAGACCAUUUAACAUUUCAUAUAAUAAGGGCUUGGUAAUGAUGAACUCCUUGAACUUGACCUUAUCCGAGAAGCACUUUAUCUGUCCUUACAUUCUAAAUGAAAGCUUUGCUGGACAGAGCAGUCUUGGAUGUAGGUCUUUGGAUUUCAUGACUUGGAAUACUUCUUUGCAGCCCCUUCUUGCCUGUAAGGUCUCUUUUGAGAAAUCAGCUGACAGUCUGAUGGGAGCUCCUUUGUAGGUGACUGUCCCCUUAUCUCUUGCUGCUUCUAGGAUUCUCUCCUUCAUUUUAAUCUUGGCUAAUGUAAUUAUCAUGUGCCGUGGUGUGUUCUUCCUUGGGUCCAACUUCUUUGGGACUCUCUGAGCUUCCUGGACUUCCUAGAAGUCUAUUUCCUAUGCCAGAUUGGGGAAGUUCUCCUUUAUUAUUUGUUCAAAUAAGUUCUCCACUUGUUGCUGUUCCUCUUCCCCUUCUGGGACCCCUAUAAUUCGGAUGUUGGAACGUUUAAAGAUGUCCCGGAGGUUCCUAAGCCUCUCUUCAUUUUUUUUGAAUGCUUGUUUCUUCAUUCUUUUCUGUUUGGUUGUUUCUUUCUUCCUUCUGGUCCACUCCCUUGAUUUUAGUUCCAGUUUCCUUCCCAUCACCAUUGGUUCCCUGUGCAUUUUGCUUCAUUUCACUUAGUGAAGCCUUCACUUUUUCAUCUAAUUUGUGACUAAAAUCAACCAGUUCUGUGAGCAUCCUGACCACCAGUGUUUUGAACUGUGCAUCUGAUAGGUUGGCUAUAUUUUGGUCACUUAGAAGUAUGGGCUCUGGGGCUUUGAGCUGUUCUUCUUCUUGAGCCAUAAUGUUUUGGUCUGUUCACAUCUGUUACGUAUGAGGGGCGUGCACCAGGGCGGGGCAACCCAGGUCACUGGGUGGUGAUGCUGUAUGUGGGAGUGGGGUCAGAGAGGGGCAAUGGCUUUUUUUCUGCUCUCGGAUUUUGGUCCCCUCUGCUGCUUCCCACAAACAAAUUGGGCCCUUCUGGUGCUAGUUCCCAGGUGUGUGGGCCUGUGCACUCUCCAGGACCCUGGGUCUCUCCAACAAAUUCUCUGUGAGCCUGGGAGCUUCUCCCGGCACCUGGACCCCAAAAGUUUUUCCAGUUGGUGCUUUUAGGCUUUAAUUCCCAUUGCUUGGGACCUGGGUUGCGCGGUCUAUCACACUGCUCGCUCCUUUGCCUGGUUUAUCUGCACACGAAUGUGUGACCGUGGUCAGCCUGCUGCCUUGCGCCCUCACUGGGUCUGCCUGUUGCCACCCCACACCUGGGAUCUGCCAACCUCUGCCUGCGCACCUGGGUCGGUCUGGCCACUUUUUCCUGCAGGACCCCUCUCUGACAGCCACUGACUCUGCCCCUCUUACCGGUCUGGAUGAAUGGUUUGUUGUUGUCGGACUUGGGUACAGUUUAAUUUUCUCUCUGUUUUGGUUGGGUUCUGGUUUUUAAAUAUUUGUUUUCCAUAAACUUGGUUGUGCGAGGAAUUACAGUGUUUCCACCUACACCUCCAUCUUGGCUGGAAGUCAGGUGCUGGAUUCUGAUAUGCCACUAUUGUAGUGAGGAGCCAGAUGUGGUAGAACUUACUAUAUAUGUGUGUAUAUGAAUAUAUAUAUAUUUCAAUAACUGUUCACCAGAUUUGGUUACUCCUCAUUCUACAAGUAGAGACUUAAAGUCUUGUGAACACUCGUCAUUCUGCAGAAAGGGGAAUGCAAGGAGAGGGAGAGAAACAUCAAUGUAUGGUUGCCUUUCGUGCGCCCCCUGCUGGGAACUGGCCUGCAUCCCAGGCAUGUGCCCUGACUGGGAAUCAAACCGCGAUCCUCUGUUUCGCAGGCCUGUGCUCAAUCCACUGAGCUACACCAGCCAGGGUACCAGAACUGUUUCUUUAUCUUCCCUGCACGACUAAGAAAAGCUGCCCCUCAUAAUACAGGCCCAUAAUCUUCUCUGCAAUUCUGAAGUCCACAAAGCUCUGAAAAAUGAAAGUUUUCUCAUAAGGUGGCACUAAAACCAACCUGACAGCAAAAUCUUACUGGAGCCUCUGACAGGGUAGUUGUCAUUGUUAUGUAUCCCAUGUCUCACCACAAAUAUGUUAAUGUGAUCACGGGUCCUGCCUCAGACAUAUGUCUGAACAAAUAUAUAGAUUUGGGGGAAGUAUAAGCAUAUAGGUGGUAACUAAAGUCAUAAGAAUGGUUGACAUGGUCCAGGGAAAGAAGAGACUGAGAGGAGAAGAGGGAUGAGGAGAGAGCCCCUGAGGACCAAAUUUAGUGAAUGGACUGGAGGGAGGGUCCAGCAAAAGGGAUCCAGGAAGAAGUGAGAGAAAAAGGGAACAAACACGGUGUGCAGGUGCAGCAGCUCAGAGAAGAGAAUGUUUCAGCAUGGAGGGGUAGUAAUCCAAGUCAGCUGCGUAGAGGUCCGCACUGAACCAGAGGCAACUGGGACUUGCAGUCUCAGGAGUCUUGUCUCCCGGAGGCUGAGAACAUGUCUCAAAACUAUUUUACCUCUUCAACAGUGCUGAGCUGUUGUGCUUUGUGCAUUGUGGGUGCCCAAUAAAGACUUGCUCAUUAAUUGAAUAUGUCAAUUAAAGCCAUAGAACUGAGAGGCAAACCUGCUUUUGUGAGGACUCAUUUGGGAUGAAAGACUGGGAAGACAACAGAAAGAGCAGAGAGAAAAAAACAUGAAAAAUAACCAAGAAGUGAGACACAUUUGCUCACUGGCAUGCACAGUUGGAAGAGAACAUUUCACUCCUUACAAUAGGGAAAAGUGGUUGGGCUGGGUAAUGAGAAAACAGUAAAAUUUGUAGGUCUUUGAAGUGGAAAGGGUAAGAACCGUGGUGGACAGAGAAAGUAGAUUAAUCAAAUAAACAUUUUGUUCUUAAACUAUGGCUCAGGGCAAUUUAUAGAACCUUAGACAUAAUCAAACAGCUAAUAUUUCACAAAUGAUAAACAUGCAGAGUGGCUGGACACUUGGAAGGUAACAGUUAGUUCCUGGCAAAGCCUGAACUCAAAAUGUUUCUAAUGAAAUAACAAUCCACUGCUAUUUCCUGACUGUCCCUCUACACUUUUAUCAGUAAAAUCUGGUUAAGAUGAACAUUUAGACAGCUGUGAUCAUCUGACUGAAAUCACAGGCACUGGGGCCCAAGCUCUCUCAACAGGCAACAGGUACCACAAUGGAACCCAGGGUCCCAGGUGGAGGGCUGCACUCACCUACCUCCUCUGAAAACCCCUGGGAGGGAAGAGUCAAGCAUGGCUUCAGUUUUAAACUGUAUUAGAGGUGGAAAGGGUACAUUCUCUUUUCCAAAUGGUAUUUGUGAUUGUUAUAAUCAGAAAACAUACAUUUUUAAGUGUUUUUUUUUUAAUGAAAGAGUGGGCAGAUGGGAAGAGUUAAAGUGAAUCAGGCUUUUUGCUAGUGUGACUUAGAAUCAGGUUAUGCCAGAUGAAAACCAGGCAGGGCUCAAGGGAAACCAGUUCCACUUUCCCUUCCCUGUGUUCUCUUUUGGUUUGGUUUGUAGAUUGCUGGUUUGGUUUAAAGGUGGAAGUUCUGUGCAAGGCAGCAACUUGCAAUAGGGAACACAAUGGCUGUGUUUUUCUUGACUUGGUGAGAUGGCAGAUCGGUUAAAGGAGGAAGAGAAGAGAGAAUGGACACUGAAGAUUGUGACUUUGGGGGAAUGAUUUUCCCCAGAAAGGAGAAGUUUUAACCUCUAUAGCUUGGGACAGAGCAUUCCAAAACAGCUGGAAAGUCCUCAAUAACUUGUCAGAUGAAGUAAAUUAAAACCUUUCCCAGCCCCAUGGGUCAAACCCUGCUGUUCAUGAAUAACCUUCAAGUUGCUAUCCAGCUGUCUCCAGGUUAAUGAGUCUCCCAAAGACUUAAAAAUUUGAUCUGCAAAGAUGUGCCAUGUUGAAAGUGCCAGUUGUCCCUGCAAGAGAAACAGGGUUUUUUGUUUGUUUUUUGCCUCAGAGAUCCUAGACCAGAAAUGUAGGAGAGCCCACAAAUGUUUCUGCUAGUAGAUUGUACUAUAGCUCACACUCCCACUUUUUACCCAAAGAAAUUCUAUCCCUCAGGUCCACCCAAGAAGAAAACAUCUUAGGAUACACAGCAUGGAGUCCCUGCUUCACACCAUGAACAUCUUUACUCUGGAAAGAAUCGGUGGUGUCUCUCCCCAAUGUCAAUCAGCUCGUAUCACUGAAAAGCAGUAAGAGUGUUACCAACACAGGAGACAGUGCCUUACUUGCUUUCUUGCUACUGUGAGAGGUUUCUUAGUGCAAGGACUGAGCCUACCCCUGGCUUGGCCAUGUAUAGCUGGGAGGCAUUUCAGGAAAAAGGGAGCCACUGUCCCCAACAGGUUGCAAAUGUUGAGAGCAUGUCUCUUCAUCAGCCCAGCUUAGGUUGGCUUCUGUGCCUGUGGAUCAGCAAAGUCCUUCUCAACAAAUGUCAGAUGUCUUUGUGUUUGACACUAAUGUCAGACCCUGGGACCUGCCUUCCAGGAGCACAUCAUCUUGGGUCAGGGACCGAAGGCAUGUCAGCUGUGGGCUCUGCACACCAACUGUCUCCUAUAGAAAGGAACCUGACCCACCUAUUGCUCCCUGCUCAGAGUGAAAGCACCAAGCUCUUUCAUGUCCAGGAAUAGCCACUGAUUGGGCCAAGGCCAGGCAGCUAGCCCAAGGUUCACCCCACCCCCGUAGGCUAGGGGGUGCUCCAUAAUCCAGGAGGCUGGCCUAUAGGUACUACAUUUAAGGGUUUCCUUGCCCUCUGACUUGUAGUGGGGUUCAGCCAAAUGGGGAAAUCUAGCCAGAGAUAAGCAGGAAGGGGAAAAGUGAUACUGGGAUAUUCACACCUCCACUGAAGGUUGCAUUUCUGUAGUGUGGCCCUCUAAAUGUCACCCCUCUUCCAGCCAGGCCUCACUUCUUCAGGCCUAGACCUGGUAACAACUCCCAACCCAAUGUUACCGACACAAGGUAACACCAACCUUUUGUGGUUUUCCCACCAACCUUUGUAAAUAAUCCUUUUAUCAAACACUCCUCAAAGCACCCCUAUCAUCUGUUUCCUGCUGAGACCUUGACUGAUAGAGGUUUACAAAACUCAAGUGUACACUCUUCACUGUCUGGUUUCUUCUCUCUGUACCAGUAAAUUCUGCUCAGCUCCAUCGGCAAACACUUACUGCUUCACAGAGACAAGUUGGCCAAGAGGACAUUAGCUCAGACUGGUCUACUGCGAGGUGAGGGUGGUGGGGUGGCAGAAGAGGAGCAAGGGAGUGUCCUGCCUCAAUGCCAGUAAAUAUGUUGUGUAAAUACUAAGUAUGAAAGACAGUCUGAUAGCUACCUUCCCCAGGAUAAAGUCUGGAUCCAACCUUCUGUUGGGCAGAAAAGUUUUCCUUCUCAGGUAAAAUUAGUUUCCUUGGCUAAAAAUGCUUCGAGUCACACAACCACAAAAUAAUAAUUGAAAGGUUCUCUCGGUGAGAAAGCCAUUGCUCUGCUCCAACCAAACAGUUAAUUUACCCAAAUUAGUGCAGCUGAAGCAAGGUGGGAGUGGAAUCUUUUCUAUGUUAUUUUUGCCUUUUAAAUAUUGAUAAGCUCUCAAAAGGCAAAGGUUAGUGAGCAUAUCAAGCUAUGCUCUUCCUUCAGCCUUUAGAGUGAGGUUAGGGAGAGUGGGUAGGCUGUAGGCAGUACGGCUAUUUUUAUUUUUGUGAUAAUUUACCAUCUCUGAACACAGUAAUGGGGAAGAUGCAUUGUAAAUUUUCUAAAAAGGAGACUAAAAGGGUCUCAAAUGAUCCAAAGCUGUCUCUCGCCUCUAAGAAAAAAAUCCUCCCUCAGCUCUUUGGUGCGUAUUAUUUUGUCUAUUUGGGAUCUGGCUUUUAAAGCAGGUUUCCCAACGGGCAGAUUCAACAGCAGUCUAAGAAAUGCCUUAUUUCCUAUCUAACAUUCAAAUGGAAAAACGUAGGAUCUCACUCUGGCCAGUGUGACUUGGUUGGGCAUCUUCCUUCAAACCAAAUGGUUCAAUUCCCGGUCAAGGGCACAUGCCUGGGUGGUGGGUUUGGUCCCUGGUCCAGGUCUGUACGACAGGCAGCUGAUCAAUGUUUCUCCCUUACAUUGAUAUUUUUCAUCCUAUUUUUCUCCCUCCCUUCCCCUCUCUCUCACAGAAAAAAAAAAAAGAAGCCAGGAUCUGAAUUUAUUUGUUUUCCCUUUUCCAUCAUUUCUUUAAGAAAAGGAUAUACUGGUUUCUUUAGUCUCCAGUCUUUUGGCAACAGGCAUUUAAAAGAAAGAAUCAUGUGGUAAUUAUUAAUUUUGCAUGGGACCAACUCUGGCCUCAGCUUUCAUUUGAGAUGCAGUUACAUGAAAAACAGAUUGCGUUAAUUUCAUUCCCUCUGGGGUUGCUUGGCAACAAGGCCUUGUUCCAGAUCAUCUCUCCUUGGCCUAGAGUGAUCUCUUUGGGGUGUCUCUCAUGCUAAGGCAAUCAUCACACUGUUGCUGUCACUUCUGAAUGUGUCCCUAUGGUCCUGAUAGCACAGGGGAUUGAUUGGUGGCUUUGCUCCAGUCACUCUGCCUGGGGUCUGUGUAACCCCUGGGCUUGUCAGCACAGAAAACUAUGCUUGGGGCAUUUGGGAUUCAAACAAUUAAUGUUAGACAAAAAAGAGAGAGAGCAUAAGCAAUGUCUGAGGUAAUCCUGAGGAGCAGUAGGGCUGAGAUGGGAUAAAUACUGAUGACCCUUUUAAAAAAAGCAUAACUGUGUUGUGUUUUGGACAUCUUUAUAAGUUAAAUGAUAAAUGCAAGGUCCAGAACAGAAUGCAUUGGAUGAUAGCUUUUUUUGGGGGGGGAGGUGCAGAGAAGAGGGGAAGGUAUGACAAUAUUUUGUUUAUGUUUGCAUAAAGAAAAAUGCAGGUGGCCACCUGUGAGUGUUUGUGAGGAGUGAGAGUGAUGGACUAGAAAGGGCAGAGGUGAGAACAAGAUUUUUUUACCUGCAUGUUAUCUAGUUAAAGAAAAACAACAAAAUUUAAAAAUAAAAAUUAAACAAGUGUUGGAAACCCAGUGUUAAUUUUUAGUGUUUGUCAGUGUUGAGAAAGUUGGGUAGAGAGUAUAUAGGAAUUGCUAUUUUUGUAAAUUUUUUUGGUGAGUCUGAAAUUAUUUCAAAAUUAAAGUUAAAAGAAAUGUUUUCAAUAUUAGCAACCCCAACAAAAUUUUUAGGCUUUCCUUCUUGUUUAACAUCAUUCUUGCUCUCUUUCAUGAAGGGAGUUGGUCUGCACAUUUAGAACAUUUUGAGUGACUUGGUAGAAGAUGGGGGCAUCUUUGAGCAUUUUGAGCUGCCGAGAAAAGCCCUCAGCUAGGACCAUUAGCCUUAAUCAGAGUGCAGUUUCAUCCACAUCCCAGAUGAGUUUAGUCGUGGUCCCUAAAGGUCUGAGGAGAAAUAAGUGACAGCCUCCUGAGGGACUGGCCUCACUGAGUAUGGAACUCCCAUUAUGAAAGCAUCACUCAAUUCAUAUAAGCCCUCACUUGUGCCUUCAUGAUUUUCCUGGACAGCCUUUAGUGCUUUCUCUCAUCUCUGCAGCAGGCAUCUCUGCAGCAGACCAUCUCCAUAUGGUCUGCUUUCUCCAUGAAAUUAAGCUUUUAUCUUUCUCCAUGAAACUAAGCUCCUUGAGGGCAGGUACAGUGGCCAAGUCAUAGACAUACACAGCUUCCUGGCAUAGCACAACACAUACCUUGUUCUUAAGUCUUUAUUUUGAAAUAAUUAUGGAUUCAGAUGAAGUUGCAAAAAAUAUACAAAGAAUGUAUAAAUGCUUAUAUUUUAAGAAGAAAAUUCUUUAAUAAAUAACCUAACUUUUUACCUGAAUUAACUGGAAAAAGAAGAGCAAAUUAAAUCCAAAGCAGGUGGAAGGAAGGAGGAGGGGAGAUUAGAGAAGAAAUAAAUGAAACAGAAUAGAAAAACAGUAUAGAAAAUCAAUAAAAGCAGAAGUUGGUUCUUUAAAAAGGUCAACAAAAUUGAUGAGCAUUUAUCUAGACAAAGAUAAAAGGAGAGAAGACUCAAAUUACUACCAACCUUAUAAAAAUGAAAAGGACUAUUAAGGGAAAACUAUGGAAUUAUAUUCCAACAAAUUAGGUGACGUAGAUGAAAUGGAAAAAUUUCUAGGAAGACAAAAGCUACUGAAACUGAGUCAAUAAGAAACAGAAAAUCAAAACCACAAUGACAUAUCACUUCACACCCACUUGGAUGGCUAUAAUCGAAAAGACAGACAAUGUGUUAGUGAGGAUGUGGUGGAGUCAGAACUUUCACACACUGAUGCUGGGAAUGUAAAAUGGUACAGCACCUUGGAAAAUUGUGUCAGUCCUUCAAACAGUUAAACAUAGAAUUACCACAUGACCCAAAAAUUCCACUCAUACAUACAUACUCAAGAAAAUUGAAACAUAUUUUUUAAAAAAACUGGUUCAUAAAUGUUCAUAGCAGCAUUAUU